CGUUGAAAUACCGGUUUUCGUACGAUCACCAAAGUUAAGCAACGUCGAGACUGGUCAAUACCUAGAUGGGUAACCGCUUGGGUAUAACAAGUGCUGUAAG